GAUGAACGCUGGCGGUAUGCUUAACACAUGCAAGUCGAACGCAGACUUUCGGGUCUGAGUGGCGGACGGGUUAGUAACGCGUUAGAAUCUGGCUUCAGGUUGGGGACAACCACGGGAAACAACGGCUAAUACCCAAUGUGCCGUUCAGGUGAGAGAUGAAUUGCCGGAAGAUGGGCUCGCGUCUUAUUAGCGAGUUGGUGGGGUAAGAGCUCACCAAGGCGAAGGUCAGUAGCUGGUCUGAGAGGAAGAUCAGCCACACGGGGACAGAGACACGCCCCAGACCUACACGAGGGAGAGGAGUGGAAAAUUGUACGCAAGGCGGGAGAGUCUGGCAGAGAAAUACCGCGUGGGGGAGGAAGGCUCGUGUGUUGUAAAGCUCUUUCCUCAGAGAAGAAGGCAAUGACGGUAAUUGAUGAAGCAGCAUCGGCUAACUCCGUG
rnacentral:rRNA from 1 species